AUUGAACGCUGGCGGCAGGCCUAACACAUGCAAGUCGAACGGUAACAGGAAACAGCUUGCUGUUUCGCUGACGAGUGGCGGACGGGAGAGUAAUGUCUGGGAAACUGCCUGAUGGAGGGGGAUAACUACUGGAAACGGUAGCUAAUACCGCAUAACGUCGCAAGACCAAAGAGGGGGACCCUCGGGCCUCUUGGCAUCGGAUGUGCCCAGGUGGGAUUAGCUAGUUGGUGGGGUAACGGCUGACCAAGGCGACGCGCCCUAGCUGGUCUGAGGGGAUGAACAGCUAGACGGGAAGUGAGACACGGUCCAGACUCCUACGGGAGGAAGCAGUGGGGAAUAUUGCACGAUGGGCGCAAGCCUGAUGCAGCCAUGCCGCGGGUAUGAAGAAGGCCUUCGGGUGGGAAAGUACUGUCAGCGGGGAGGAAGGGAGUAAAGUUUAUACCUGUGCUCAUUGACGGUACCCGAAGAAGAAGCACCGGCUAACUCCGUG
rnacentral:rRNA from 1 species